GACGAACGCUGGCGGCGUGCCUAACACAUGCAAGUCGAACGGAAACACCCUGCUUUUUUGGGCUUCUCGAGUGGCGAACGGGUGAGUAACACGUGAGUAACCUGCUCUUGACUUUGGGGUAACUUCAGGUAACUGGGGCUAAUACCGGAUCGGAGCUCCUGCUGCAUGGUGGGGGUUGGAUAGUUUCGGCGGUCGGGGCUGGACGCGGGGGUUAUGAGCUUGUUGGUGGGGUAGUGGCAUACCCAGGCUUUGACGGGUAGCCGGCCUGUGAGGGUGACCGGGGACAAGGGGACUGAGGGAGGGAGCAGUGGGGAACGGGAGGCAACGGGCGGGAGUAUGGCACAGUGAGCGCGAGUGUGAUAAGAAGGCGUCCGGGUCGUAAAGACGGCCUUCGGGGUAUGAACCGCUUUAGGCUGAGACGAAGCGUGAGUGACGGUAAUGGGUGAAGAAGCACCGGCUAACUACGUG
rnacentral:rRNA from 1 species